GACGAACGCUGGCGGCGUGCUUAACACAUGCAAGUCGAACGAAGAGCGACGGAAGCUUGCUUCUAUCAAUCUUAGUGGCGAACGGGUGAGUAACGCGUAAUCAACCUGCCCUUCAGAGGGGGACAACAGUUGGAAACGACUGCUAAUACCGCAUACGAUCUAAUCUCGGCAUCGAGGAUGGAUGAAAGGUGGCCUCUACAUGUAAGCUAUCACUGAAGGAGGGGAUUGCGUCUGAUUAGCUAGAUGGAGGGGUAACGGCCCACCAAGGCGAUGAUCAGUAGCCGGUCUGAGAGGAUGAACGGCCACAUUGGGACUGAGACACGGCCCAGACUCCUACGGGAGGCAGCAGUGGGGAAUCUUCCGCAAUGGACGAAAGUCUGACGGAGCAACGCCGCGUGAGUGAUGACGGCCUUCGGGUUGUAAAGCUCUGUUAAUCGGGACGAAAGGCCUUCUUGCGAAUAGUGAGAAGGAUUGACGGUACCGGAAGAGAAAGCCACGGCUAACUACGUG
rnacentral:rRNA from 1 species